GGGUAUGGCUCAGUGGUAGAGCAAACACUCAGCAUGCACGAGGUCCUGGGUUCAAUCCCCAGUACUGCCU
rfam:Camelus ferus unplaced genomic scaffold scaffold2086, whole genome shotgun sequence.